CAGCAAGCCAGUGUGGGCUGGAGGACGUGCCUGCUUUCCAUUCGUCUUCCACCACGAUUCUAAGUUUCCUGAGGCCUCCCCAGCCAUGCCUCCUGGACAGCCUGCAGAACCGUGAGCCAGUUAAACCUCUUUUCUUUAUAAAUUACCCAGUCUCAGACUGUUCUUUGUAGCGGAGUGAGAACGGACUGAAACAGCACCUGAUCAGCCCUUAGGACAGUCAAGGUCAUCAAAGACAAGGAAAGUCUGAGAAACUGUGACAGCCAAAAGGAGCCUCAGGAGACACGAUGACUGAAUGUCCUGUUGCGACAUAGAUAAAGGUGUAUCAGUGCUGGCUCAUGAUUGCAACAAAGAGAGCCAGGAACGAUGCUAAAGCUUCCUGAUUCGUGACCCUGGCUAAGCAAAUGUAACGGCCCCAUUGACUCGCAGCCAUUGGAGAACUGAGCUUAAGAAUCUUUUGGCGGUCUGGAAACUUGGAAAAAGAAAGGGGCAACGUAUCCCACUUGAGCCAAGGCCAUACUUUCCCGGCUGCUCAGAAGACAUUUCUCUGUCUCCCCUGCUCUUCCCCAUCUUGAAUGUGGAUGUCCUGGCUGGGAACACAGCAGCCAACUCGUGAGUGUGGGUAACAAGCAGGGACAAAAGACCACCAGAGUCACAGAGACGCAGCUGCGGUGACACCGAGAUCCACUCGGCUCUCUUCUCUUCUGCGUCCUGCUCUAUGGCCUGGGAAGCUGAUCUCCAAGGAUCGCAUUCCUAGGGCUCUCUGGCCCAUGGGCUUCCCGUUGGGUUUGCCCAAUGGACAGCCAUGGCAGAAGAUCAAAGGGAAGAUGGCAGGAAGCUGUCCCCCACUCCUCGCCUGGCUGAGUUCUGGCGAUGGCUGCCAUCCAGGGUCCUGAGUCCCACCAGUUUUUACCCCUUGAAGUGAGAAAGAACACGUCUACAACCCUCCCUCAUUCCAGAGGCUGUGUUUUUGCCCUUUGGUCAUGCAGAUGGGGCUAAAGCGAAGUUACAACAUUGGAAAAUGUCUUCUUAACGUCACACUGAUCUCCUUAAGGCAACGAGCCCCACAUGCUCUCUGAGGCCUGUGCACGUGUUCUGAGGACCCAGUUAUGUGCUGCGUGAUUCCAGAGGUGAACAGACCCUCACAGAUCACCUCUCCUCACCCUCUCAUGAGAGGGAAACUGAGGCUCAGGGGGAGAAUUGGCAAAGGUUACACUUGGUGGUGGGUUUGGAAUCUGCCCUGUGGACGCCCGACUAACCAUUUCUGCCAGAUGCGCGUGGGAAGUAAAAUGGGAAGAGGUGCUCCAUAGGAGGAGGGGACGUGGGUACAGUCACGUGGACCCGUGAGCCGGUCACCUGCGAGGCACCAGGGCCUACAGGAAAGGUGCCCGCUGUCGGCUUCCGCAGGGAAUUUCGUUAUCUUUGUGAGGUAGGGUGGAACUUGCAUCCUGAACAUUAAAGUUUACAUGCCAAGGAGGGCGGUGGAGUCCUUGGAACUUCCUGCCUCCCCCUGAGGCUGCCUCCCCAUGCGAUUGACCUGGUCUGGCUGGGCCUGAUGCUGGGCUCAAAGAGAACACAGGUCUCACCCUCCUAUGUGGCGUGUGGUGAAGACUAAGGAGGUCCCCAGGACCCUGAGGGUUGCCCUUGGGUGCAUUGGAGUAGAGGCCAGGGAAGUCCAUGUCCUUUCCGAGCCAGGCCUUGCCGCCGAGGUACAGCCACAGUGUCCCCCUUCCAGCUGCAGAGCCGCUGCUUCCUCAUCUGUCAGGUGGGAACAACGACCCCCACUCUGUGCACCUCACUGGCAGUAGCGAGCACGAAGUGUGAGGGUGGACUCUGCAAGGUGGAAGCCAUGUCCCUGCAGGUUGCAUCUGUGCUGCCUGCCCUGCUGAGGGACGGGAACAGCAGCAUAGCCUUCGGUACCACGUACCUUGUUUGUCAAAACUGGACCUGCCACAGCGCGGUGGCCCUUCUCCUGGGGAAACACACUGUGCCCCAGGAGGUGUGUGGACAAACACCUUCACAGCACUGAUGCUGAGACAGCCAGAGCCCAGAAACGCCCAGCCGCCCCCGGUAGGAAAAUGAAUAAGUAAAUUGGGGCAAUUGGAGAUUGUGAUGUCUCUCUUGCUGAAGACCACCUGGCUGGAUUUGCUGGGGUGGGACCCAGACCGGGACGUUUUCAUACACACAAAACGGGCUGUGCCAGGUGGCCUUCUCCAGGGCACGGUGGGUGGGGGAGUCUCAGGCUGCCACGUGCCUGGCAGGCUUGGGACGAGGUGAAGGGAGGUGAGUGUUCGUGGGGAUGCUGGGACCCCAUUCGGGCCAGGUCAAUCACAUGGGGAGAUACAGUAUCAACAGUAAAGGAUCUUUAGAUAUGUAAACACACAGAUAAGUGGCCGGUGUAAUGUGCAGAAAAUGCUAAACAACAGAAUGCAAUAAUACAAAGUUCCAAAGCAGGCAACCCUAAACUCCAUGUUC
rnacentral:lncRNA from 1 species